UACGAAGGGGGCGAGCGUUGUUCGGAAUUAUUGGGCGUAAAGGGCGCGUAGGCGGUCGGAUAAGUCUUGUGUGAAAUCUUCGGGCUCAACUCGAAGUCUGCACAGGAAACUAUCUGGCUUGAGUGUGGGAGAGGUGAGUGGAAUUCCUGGUGUAGCGGUGAAAUGCGUAGAUAUCAGGAGGAACACCUGUGGCGAAAGCGGCUCACUGGACCACAACUGACGCUGAGGCGCGAAAGCUAGGGGAGCAAACAGG
rnacentral:rRNA from 1 species